AUUGAACGCUGGCGACAUGCCUUACACAUGCAAGUCGAACGGCAGCACGGGUGCUUGCACCUGGUGGCGAGUGGCGAACGGGUGAGUAAUACAUCGGAACAUGUCCUGUAGUGGGGGAUAGCCCGGCGAAAGCCGGAUUAAUACCGCAUACGAUCUUCGGAUGAAAGCGGGGGACCAUCUGGCCUCGCGCUAUAGGGUUGGUCGUUGGCUGAUUAGCUAGUUGGUGGGGUAAAGGCCUACCAAGGCGACGAUCAGUAGCUGGUCUGAGAGGACGACCAGCCACACUGGGACUGAGACACGGCCCAAACUCCUACGGGAGGCAGCAGUGGGGAAUUUUGGACAAUGGGCGAAAGCCUGAUCCAGCAAUGCCGCGUGUGUGAAGAAGGCCUUCGGGUUGUAAAGCACUUUUGUCCGGAAAGAAAACCUUGGCCCUAAUACGGUCGGGGGAUGACGGUACCGGAAGAAUAAGCACCGGCUAACUACGUG
rnacentral:rRNA from 1 species